GUAAAGGAUGGGCAUGCGUGACAUUAGCUAGUUGGAGAGGUAACGGCUCACCAAGGCUACGAUGUCUAGGGGUUCUGAGAGGAAGAUCCCCCACACUGGUACUGAGACACGGACCAGACUCCUACGGGAGGCAGCAGUGAGGAAUAUUGGGCAAUGGGCGCAAGCCUGACCCAGCCAUGCCGCGUGAAGGAUGAAUGCCCUAUGGGUUGUAAACUACUUUUGUACGAGACGAAACUCCUGGUCGUGACCGGGAUUGACUGUAUCGUGCGAAUAAGCAUCGGCUAACUCCGUGCCAGCAGCCGCGGUAAUACGGAGGAUGCAAGCGUUAUCCGGAUUUAUUGGGUUUAAAGGGUGCGUAGGCGGAAUAAUAAGUCAGUGGUGAAAGCCUGUGGCUUAACCAUAGAAUUGCCAUUGAUACUGUUAUUCUUGAGUAUAGUUGAAGUGGGCGGAAUGUGUAAUGUAGCGGUGAAAUGCUUAGAUAUUACACAGAACACCAAUUGCGAAGGCAGCUCACUAAGCUGUUACUGACGCUGAGGCACGAAAGCGUGGGGAGCAAACAGGAUUAGAUACCCUGGUAGUCCACGCCGUAAACGAUGAUCACUCGUUGUUGGCGAUACACCGUCAGCGACUGAGUGAAAGCAAUAAGUGAUCCACCUGGGGAGUACGGCGGCAACGCUGAAACUCAAAGGAAUUGACGG
rnacentral:rRNA from 1 species